UGCUCACAAGACAGCCAAGCUUCAAGACUGAAAAGAAAAUACCCAGCAAAGCAACCAUGAUUCAUAUCCCGUGCAAUAGUUCUAAUAUCAACCAUUGAUUUAAUCCAAUGGUUGUAAAGGGUUGCCACAUCAUCGAUCCGUGUCUCACUAUUUUGUUUCUCCACUUUCUCCCACUUCACUUCCCUUUCUCUUUCUUUUUCAGAUUCACCAGCGGUGCUUGCCGGCCUGACCUUCUCUCUCAACGUCUCUCUGUUUUCUCGUUCUCUCAAGUCCAACUGUUGCGAAGCUUCUGCUUGCCCCUUCUCUAGCAGUGCUUCUUAGCGGCGUCACCAGCGCUGGUGGCCGUCAGUCAAGAAGCAGGAGGCACACUAGCUGGAACUUAAUGAGCAGGUCAUGCCACUUACGGUUGUUAAAGAACUUGAUCUUGAAGCUUACAAGACCUUCUUUUUUCUUUUGUGGGAAUUGUGUAUUAUGAAUUUAUGAUGAUGGGAAGAUUUGUUUCUUGUUAACGAAGUGUAUAUUUCAACAAAACUGUUGUUAUAUGGCCUUGUGGUCAAAGUGUACAUUCUAAUAAGGUUCUGUUCAUUUUUAGAUCGAAUUCAUUUCUUGUCUA